UACGUAGGUGACAAGCGUUAUCCGGAAUUACUGGGCGUAAAGCGCACGCAGGCGGUUUGGUAAGUUCGAUGUGAAACCUUUCGGCUUAACCGGAAGACGUCGUUGAAUACUGUCAAACUUGAGGCAAUGAGAGGAAUGCGGAAUUCCCGGUGUAAUGGUGGAAUAUGUAGAUAUCGGGAGGAACAUCUGUGGCGAAAGCGGCAUUCUGGCAUUAGCCUGACGCUCAUGUGCGAAAGCGUGGGUAGCAAACGGG
rnacentral:rRNA from 1 species